UCGCGAAAACUUCACAAUGGGGGCAACCCCGAUGAGGGAAUUCCAAGUGCUAGCACUUUUUGUGUUAGCUGUUCUAUUGUCUAAAAAACAAGAGAAGUAAGGGCCGGGUAAGACGGGUGCCAGCCGCCGCGGUAAUACCCGCGGCCCGAGUGGUGGUCGAUAUUAUUGAGCCUAAAACGUUCGUAGCCGGUCUUGUAAAUCCUUGGGUAAAUCGGCCAGCUUAACUGUCCGAAGUCCGGGGAGACUGCAAGACUUGGGAUCGGGAGAGGUCAGAGGUACUUCUGGGGUAGGGGUAAAAUCCUGUAAUCCUAGAAGGACCACCGGUGGCGAAGGCGUCUGACUAGAACGAAUUCGACGGUGAGGAACGAAGCCCUGGGGCGCAAACGGGAUUAGAUACCCCGGUAGUCCAGGGUGUAAACGCUGCGGGCUUGGUGUUGGGGUCCUUAGUGGGCGCCCAGUGCCGGAGAGAAGUUGUUAAGCCUGCUGCUUGGGGAGUACGUCCGCAAGGAUGAAACUUAAAGGAAUUGGCGGGGGAGCACCGCAACGGGAGGAGCGUGCGGUUCAAUUGGAUUCAACG
rnacentral:rRNA from 1 species